CUACACAUCACACACACAUGACACCAGAUCACAGCAGCAGCACAUCACCACAAGAGCACACAUCACACAGGACUUACUAUACAGCUGAGCAUCAUCCGCAUGAGUCAGCGUACAAACACACAGAAGCAGGGGACAACUACAGCACACAUAGCUAACACACACAUCACAGUAGAUCAUCAUAACAUUUUCUUAAACAGUGCAACAUGCCUCCCACCAAGACGCUCCGCGUUGACAAACACAAUUGGUGCGGUAAGGCUCAUCACGGCAAGAUACAUAGCAGACAUGAGAGGGUGAUCGGCCACACUGGGAAUGAGACACGGCCCCAGACUCCUACGGGAGGCAGCAGUAGGGAAUCUUCGGCAAUGGACGAAAGUCUGACCGAGCAACACCCGCCUGAGUGAAGAAGGUUUCGGAUCGUAAAACUCUGUUGUAAGAGAAGAAAGAGUGUGAGAGUGGAAAGUUCACACUGUGACGGUAUCUUACCAGAAAGGGACGGCUAACUCCGUGCCAGCCGCCGCGGUAAUACGUAGGUCCCGAGCGUUGUCCGGAUUUAUUGGGCGUAAAGCGAGCGCAGGCGGUUAGAUAAGUCUGAAGUUAAAGGCUGUGGCUUAACCAUAGUACGCUUUGGAAACUGUUUAACUUGAGUGCAAGAGGGGAGAGUGGAAUUCCAUGUGUAGCGGUGAAAUGCGUAGAUAUAUGGAGGAACACCGGUGGCGAAAGCGGCUCUCUGGCUUGUAACUGACGCUGAGGCUCGAAAGCGUGGGGAGCAAACAGG
rnacentral:rRNA from 1 species